rnacentral:rRNA from 1 species
GUUGAACGCUGGCGGCAUGCCUUACACAUGCAAGUCGAACGGUAACGGGCCUUCGGGUGCCGACGAGUGGCGCACGGGUGAGUAAUACAUCGGAACGUGCCCGAACGUGGGGGAUAACGAGGCGAAAGCUUUGCCAAUACCGCAUACGACCUACGGAUGAAAGCAGGGAACCGCAAGGCCUCGCGCGGACGGAGCGGCCGAUGGCCGAUAAGGCAGUUGGUGGGUUAAAAGCUUACCAAGCCGACGAUCUGUAGCUGGUCUGAGAGGAUGAUCAGCCACACUGGGACUGAGACACGGCCCAGACUCCUACGGGAGGCAGCAGUGGGGAAUUUUGGACAAUGGGCGCAAGCCUGAUCCAGCCAUGCCGCGUGCAGGAUGAAGGCCUUCGGGUUGUAAACUGCUUUUGUACGGAACGAAAAGCCUUCUUUUAAUACAGGAGGGUCAUGACGGUACCGUAAGAAUAAGCACCGGCUAACUACGUG